CCUACGGGGCGCAGCAGUGGGGAAUAUUGGGCAAUGGGCGCAAGCCUGACCCAGCACUGCCGCGUGAAGGAAGAAGGCUUUCGGGUUGUAAACUUCUUUGACAGGGGACGAGCAGAAGACGGUACCCUGAAAACAAGCCACGGUUAACUACGUGCCAGCAGCCGCGGUAAUACGUAGGUGGCAAGCGUUGUCCGGAUUGACUGGGUGUAAAGGGCGUGUAGCCGGGAAGGCACGUCAGAUGUGAAAUCUGGAGGCGCAACCUCCAAAUUGCAUUUGAAACUGUUUUUCUUGAGUACUGGAGAGGCAGACGGAAUGCCUUGGGUAGCGGUGAAAUGCGUAGAUAUAAGGAGGAACACCAGUGGCGAAGGCGGUCUGCUGGACAGCAACUGACGGUGAGGCGCGAAAGUGUGGGUAUCAAACAGGAUUAGAUACCCGUGUAGUC
rnacentral:rRNA from 1 species